GAGGUCAUUAUAUAAACAUCCUUCAUUUUCCGAGUCUGUACUCUAAUUAUAAUGUAGGCUGAUCAAUGUGGGAGGAGCUAUAGGAGGGCAGGCAGGCUCAUUAUUAUGGCUGUUUUUAGACUCAAUCAGGCAACGCAGUUUUAUUCCCCUGUUUUUUUAGUGUAAUACUUUUUGAAUCACUUCAGUAUGAUAAAACAACCUGUAGGUCGAAACUUUUGCAGUUAAGUGUAACACCUAUCAGGCCCCCGAGGACUGGAAUUACCCAGGCCUGCCGGGUUUAGGGUAGGGACGUCACACGGAUCCAAGAUAGCACUGACCGUCUCAGCUAUUGGCAACUGUAAUCAAGGGCGAGAGAGGGAGAGAGAGAGAGAGAGGAUAGUUCCACCUGCUUGGCCUAUCAUUUUAAAGCCCUGUGCUGGGCUCCAGAGGGGCGCGCCACCGGGGUGGAGCCGCUGCUGA
rnacentral:lncRNA from 1 species